UGCGCUGAUAUUGUAUGGUUUGUGUAACGGAAAUAGAAAUACGUUGUACGUCAUUAUUUCCGGUUGUGGAUCCGACGGACGUGUUAGCCGUUUGGGCUUCCAGCGGGCGUUCAAGUACAAAAACUGGGCACAGUGGCAACAGCUGAUUGAUAGAAAUGAAACCCAUCCUACUGCAGGACCACGGACGGUCCAUCACUCAGAUCAAGUACAACGGAGAAGGAGACCUGUUUUCCGUCGCUAAAGAUCCAAACACACGGGUUCAAUUUCAGCGGCAACAUCAUCAUGUUUGUCCACAGAGAAGCAGAUGGGCUGUCAGUGUUUCAUGAACUUCUUUGACCUGAGGGAUCCACAACAGAUCGGUAGGUGAUCGUCACACGCAACUCCGGAGAAGUCCUGAAGAAAGCCAAGGAGCACAACAGGCACAUCGACGACAUCCAGAUGUCUGUUGCCCUCACCAUGUUCAUCAGUGCCUCAAAGGACAACACCGCCAAGGUUCUUCCAAGCAGCGUACGAGGAGGAGUUUGGCAGGAGUCAAAGGUCAUUUUGGUCUCAUCAACUGUGUGGCUUUCCACCAUGACGGCAAGAGGUAAAUGACUGAGAACCUACACAGACAGCUGUUGAUUGUGUUAUUCCAGCUUGUUCCAUUCAUUGUGCCUUAAUGCUAUGGUCAGAUACUAAAUGGAGUCACUUUUUGGCAACACUGUCAUUUUUUUGGCCUUUCAUUGUGCCUUAAUGCUAUUGUCAGAUAGUUAACAGGGUCACUUUUUAACAACACUUAGUCUAUUUUUUGCCUUCACACUGUGUUGUUCCAGUUCAUUCCAUUCAUUGGUGCCUUACUGCUAUUGUACUUUCAUUGUGAGCUAAACGACUGUUGUAAACCUUCCGGAACAAGCCUCUUCAAAAGGUAAAAAUUCAUUGUGCUUUCAUGCUGUUGUAAAAUAGUCACUUUCAUUGUGAAGUGUAUUUGAUUGUUUUAAACCUUCCAGAAUAAAGAAAUUAAAUUGUU